rnacentral:tRNA from 1 species
GCUACUGUGGCUCAGUUGGUAGAGCAGCUCACUCGUAAUGAGCAGGUCGUCCGUUCGAACCGGAUCAGUAGCUCCA